rnacentral:rRNA from 1 species
UACGGAGGGUGCGAGCGUUGUCCGGAAUCACUGGGCGUAAAGGGCGCGUAGGCGGCUCAUGAAGGCUGUGGUGAAAGUCCGGGGCUCAACCUCGGAUCGGCCGUGGCGACUCGUGGGCUGGAGCACUGUAGAGGCGGGUGGAAUUCCGGGUGUAGCGGUGGAAUGCGUAGAGAUCCGGAAGAACACCAGUGGCGAAAGCGGCUUCCUGGUCCGACACCGACGUCAGGCACGAAAGCGUGGGGAGCAAACAGG